rnacentral:lncRNA from 1 species
CUAAACCAGCCAUCUUCUUCCCUGAGUGUUGCUGGCAGCAGGCCUGAGUUUGGGGGUAGGAAAGGAGGAGAAAGCCACAACUGACAGUUACAGAAAGCUUUUCAUGGUUCACUGACUGAGGACAAUCAACCCCUUCAUAAUCCAUAACCCAAAGAUUGAACUGUCUGAGAACACCAGAGAAAGACUGCUCCUGCCAUCCACAUUGCAGCAAACCUUCAGGACCUUGAACCUUGGGUUCAUAGUCUUACAACUCAGAAGCAUCCCUCCACACUCUCAAAACUGGACAUCCUUGGGAACCCUUAAGGUAAAGCUAACCAGGGAAGAUUUUCUGCCCAGAAGAUGGCAUCCUUUUCCCCAAGAUCACAGAAGCUUUUUCCCAAGAUCACAGAUCAAGACUUCUCUAGUACCAUGAGACUCUUAUCUUUGAAUUUUUCCCCUUGCUAUGCCUCUAUAAACAAUAGAAGUAAAAAUGGAAUCUGUUGUGUGCACUCAUGGGGUAUACUUUUAUUUGUGAAGGAUGCUGCAGCCAUGCAGACUUAUACAUGGAUAACAGAUAUGGUUUGGCUCUGUGUCCCCACCCAAAACUCAUGUUGAAUUGUAAUCCCCAGUGUUUGUGAGGACUGGUGGGAGGUGAUUGGAUCAUGGUUGUGGUUUCUAAUGGUUUAACGUGAUCCCUUUAGUACUGUCUUGUGAUAGAGUUCUCAUGAGGUCUGGUUGUUUAAAAGUGUGUGGAACCUUCCUGUUCACUCUUUCUCCUGCUCUGACAAGUGAAGAUGUGACUGCUUUUCCUUCAACUUCUGCCAUGAUUGUAAAUUUCCUGAGGCCUCUUCAGCCAUGCUUCCUGUACAACCUGCAGAACUGUGAGUCAAUUAAACCACUUUUUUUUUAUAAA